UUUGUUUCAUUUAUUCCAGCUUCAAAAGUCUGAUAGUUGCAAUUUCCUAAAUAUAUUUGGGGUUGUUUUCUUCGUUUCCCUCUUUGGAGGUAUUAAUACAAUUUCAUAACUGGAUUAGUGUAAUCAGUCACUCUCCAAUCAAGGUAAAAAGUUACUGACAGCAGGUGACACCCAACUUCACUGAUUCAUAUGUAUGAUAACUUGUCCUUAACUUAUUUAGAUAAGUUAGAUACAUUUAGAUAAGUUGUUUAUUUUUUGAUAUUGUUAUUGCUUAAAUAUGGCUUCAGAAAGUGGGAAGAAGAUGUAGACCCUGCAUCUUCAGCAUAUCUGGCAGUGGCAAAGCCAUCACAGAUUCAGACUUCAGGCUUUCUGGUCAUACUGGUAUUUUCCAAUGACUCCUGUUACUGAAAGCACAGAAUCUACCCAUUAUAAGCAAAUGAACCAAACAUGCCAGUGAAUGACAGAAGAAGCUGAGUGAGAUUUGAGAUUGAGAUACUCUAAAGGAUGUUGUCAAAAUAUUUAUGACAUGGGAAGAGUGCAGCUGAAACAUCAGAUUAGUAUUGCUGAAGUUUAUGAAGAAAAACAGAAUGAUUUUACCAAGAUAUGUGGGGAAGAAUGCCUGAUACAAAAGAUACUUAUGUUAAAGUGGGAAGUAUAUGGCAAGCUGUGAAUGUGAGGUUCAACUCAACAUAUUGGCUGUCAUGUAUCAGCAAGGAAAGAAAAUCCAUAAUCCAAGCUGUCUGAAAAUUGCCUGAUAAAAUGUUUGGAGAAAAUUGCCACCCACAUCCUGUAUUCCUCUGCAAGGUAUGGGAGCAUUUCCAGCACUUGUACAAGAUGAGAGAACAUGUGUAUUUAAAAAUGUGGAUACUUACAUUUGAACAUAAAU
ensembl:lncRNA